GCCGGCGUAGCCCAAAGGCAGGAGGCACACCCCUUAGGAGGGUGACAGUGUGGGUUCGAAUCCCACCGCCGGCA
rnacentral:tRNA from 2 species